AUUGAACGCUGGCGGCAGGCUUAACACAUGCAAGUCGAGCGAUGAAGUUCCUUCGGGAAUGAAUUAGCGGCGGACGGGUGAGUAACACGUGGGUAACCUGCCUCAUAGAGGGGAAUAGCCUUCCGAAAGGAAGAUUAAUACCGCAUAAGAUUGUAGUACCGCAUGGUACAGCAAUUAAAGGAGCAAUCCGCUAUGAGAUGGACCCGCGUCGCAUUAGCUAGUUGGUGAGGUAACGGCUCACCAAGGCGACGAUGCGUAGCCGACCUGAGAGGGUGAUCGGCCACAUUGGGACUGAGACACGGCCCAGACUCCUACGGGAGGCAGCAGUGGGGAAUAUUGCACAAUGGGGGAAACCCUGAUGCAGCAACGCCGCGUGAGUGAUGACGGUCUUCGGAUUGUAAAACUCUGUCUUCAGGGACGAUAAUGACGGUACCUGAGGAGGAAGCCACGGCUAACUACGUGCCAGCCGCCGCGGUAA
rnacentral:rRNA from 1 species